CCUACGGGGGGCAGCAGUGGGGGAUAUUGCACAAUGGGGGGAACCCUGAUGCAGCGACGCCGCGUGGGUGAAGAAGCGCCUCGGCGCGUAAAGCCCUGUCAGCAGGGAAGAAAAUGACGGUACCUGAAGAAGAAGCCCCGGCUAAGUACGUCCCAGCAGCCGCGGUAAUACGUAGGGGGCAAGCGUUAUCCGGAUUGACGGGGUGUAAAGGGGGCGCAGACGGCGAGGCAAGCCAGGGGGGAAAGCCCGGGGCCCAACCGCGGGAGUGCUCUUGGAACUGGGUGGCUGGAGUGCCGGAGGGGCAGGCGGAAUUCCUGGUGUAGCGGUGAAAUGCGUAGAUAUCAGGAGGAACACCGGUGGCGAAGGCGGCCUGCUGGACUGCAACUGACGUUGAGGCGCGAAAGCGUGGGGAGCAAACAGGAUUAGAUACCCUUGUAGUC
rnacentral:rRNA from 1 species